UGCUUUGUGAUGUUCUUCCUUGAUGCUGGACUUGUGGGAAGCAUCGGAUCAACUUCUUGGUGGAUUCUUAGUGAGCAUAUCACUGCCUCUUUACUUCUUGUAGCUGUUGGGGUCUUGAUUGAGAGGUGGGGAUCGAUUUAGGUGUAUUUGUAGCUGCUGGACAGUGGGGGUAGGGCUGUGGGGUACUGGAUUUGGCUGCUCUAUCUCAAGGACUACCUUGGGAGCUAUCGGGCAGAGGUUGUUGGAUUGGGAGCUACUGAAUUUCUGUUAAAACCUCAUGGACUUGGAUUCGGGACGAGCGUCUCAACGUGGGAUUUUCGGACACGAGCUACGUAUUAAGGCGGGU